CAAUAGCGUAUAUUAAAGUUGUUGCAGUUAAAAAGCUCGUAGUUGGAUUUCGGGGCAGCCUGGCUGGUCCGCCGCAAGGCGAGUACUGGUCAGCCGCCCUUCCUCUCGAAAGCCCCGACUGCUCUUUAUUGCAGUGGUCGGGUAGUUCGGGACGUUUACUUUGAAAAAAUUAGAGUGUUCAAGGCAGGCCUACGCCUGAAUACAUUAGCAUGGAAUAAUGGAAGAGGACCUCGGUCCUAUUUUGUUGGUUUCCAGGACCGAAGUAAUGAUUAAGAGGGACAGUUGGGGGCAUUCGUAUUUAAUUGUCAGAGGGGAAAUUCUCGGAUUUAUGAAAGACGAACAACUGCGAAAGCAUUUGCCAAGGAUGUUUUCAUUAA
rnacentral:rRNA from 1 species